UUUUGGGUUCAGAAACUUUGUUCUUGUUCCCGCUCCCUCCAUCUGCUAUUCCCCGCUCACUCCAUCUAGUCGACCAUAGCAAUCUCUCAAACUCUCAGAAUCCCAUCCCUCUCUCUGCGACUCUCAAACUCACUCUCCCCCAAUCUCCUCCGCGGAUGAUGGUCAACGGCAUGGGCACGGUGGGCUGACGACACAUCAAUCUUCUCUCAAUCUAUCCUCGAAUCUGAUUCCGGUCCGACCCUCUCCUCGAACCCAAUCUGGCCGGUAUUUCAAAGGUCCUGAGCUUCUGGUUGAUUUACAACAUUAUGAGUAUUCUUUGGACUUGUGGAGUCUUGGUUUCUGAGCAACUAGUUGCGACUUCACUUGCUCACUUGGUUGAGUCUGCAUCAUAUUCUGGAUCUGGAAACCUAACUACGAAGUUCCAACAGGCAAAGAAUCAUGAACCCUUAAGCUUGUGUGCUGUCUUUUUUUUUUUGUAUCAUAUUAGAUCAUGCCCUGCAACUUCAUAUCUCAUGAUAAUAGUUGAAGUUUUGUAUAUGGUAGUAGUAAAUUCCUGUGAGUACUCCUUUCUAGUUCCAAUCUUAGUGUGCUUUAUGUAACGUGGUAGUGUUUCUUUCCAUUCAUAAAUAAAAUAAAUCUAUAUAAGCAAAACAAAGAAAUUGAGUUGGAUAUUGUUUAAAACAUUUACUUAAGAUCCAAAUUGGCUGUAGGUCAUCAAUGAAGAUGUCAUUGUUCAUGAUUCUGAGGGAAAAGAAAUUGAGUCAUAGCUUCUUCCUCUAGAUGAUGUCCAUCUGGGCUUAAGGAACUACUAUGUUAAGGCAUAUACACUAUCUCGGGUGCUGAAGUGGCAGGUGCUAGCUCGACCAGAUCAUAUGUUUACACCUUCAAAGUAGGGAAAAGUUGACUAUUGAAGAUGGUCAAGGAAAUGUGAAACUCUCUCUUUCCACAGAUCAAGGCAAAAUGAUUAAUUAUGUCAAUAGCAGAAGCUUGGUGGAAGAAUUGGUUCAGCAGUCUUACAGCUUUUAUAAUGGGUAUAAUGACAGUAAUGAUGAAGCUCCUCUGAUUCCUCAGGUUCAAGAUGCAACCAGUGGCCAUGAAGUUAGAGGGAGUCCAUAGGAGAAGGAGUUCAUCCACAUUCAAGUAGUGAUCAAGAAAUUGAGCAUGCUCCAGUACUAACCAAGCCCCUCUAGUUAAUGAUAAAUAGUAUUGUGGUCAAGGAUUCUUUUGAACAAUAUUAAGUUUGGCAAUGUUUCCUUUCAGUUAUCUAGUAUGGAAGGACCUUAUAAUUAUGAAAGACUGGUUGGUUUGGUUAAUUUCAGUUUGUACUUGGUAAUAAAAUAUAACUUGGCACUUAUCUUUUGAUUAUAUGAUUUCAGUUGUGAGAUAGCUAUGAUUGAAAGGAUUA